rnacentral:rRNA from 1 species
GGCGGCAGGCCUAAACAUGCAAGUCGAGCGCGUGUAGCAAUACACGAGCGGCAGACGGGAGAGUAACACGUGGGAACGUACCCUUCGGUUCGGAAUAACCCAGGGAAACUUGGACUAAUACCGAAUACGUCCGAAAGGAGAAAGAUUUAUCGCCGAAGGAUCGGCCCGCGGCUGAUUAGCUAGUUGGUGAGGUAACGGCUCACCAAGGCGACGAUCGGUAGCUGGUCUGAGAGGAUGAUCAGCCUCACUGGGACUGAGACACGGCCCAGACUCCUACGGGAGGCAGCAGUGGGGAAUAUUGGACAAUGGGCGCAAGCCUGAUCCAGCCAUGCCGCGUGGGUGAUGAAGGCCCUAGGGUUGUAAAGCCCUUUCGGCGGGGAAGAUAAUGACGGUACCCGCAGAAGAAGCCCCGGCUAACUUCGUGCCAGCAGCCGCGGUAAUACGAAGGGGGCUAGCGUUGCUCGGAAUCACUGGGCGUAAAGCGCACGUAGGCGGAUCGUUAAGUCGGAGGUGAAAUCCUGGAGCUCAACUCCAG